AGCGAGAUGUGGGUGAGAAUCCCACAGGCCGUAAACCCAAGGUUUCCAGGGGAAGGUUCGUCCGCCCUGGGUUAGUCGGAACCUAAGCUGAGGCCGAAAGGCGUAGGUGAUGGACAACAGGUUGAUAUUCCUGUACUACCGAUAACCAUUUGAGAGAAGGGAUGACACAGUAGGAUAAGCUAAGCACACUGUUGGUUAUGUGUGCCCAAGCAUUGAGGCAGUCAAAGUAGGCAAAUCCGCUUUGAUAAUGCUGGGAUGUGAUGGGGAGCGAAAUUUAGUAGCGAAGUAGCUGAUUUCACACUGUCAAGAAAAGUCUCUA
rnacentral:rRNA from 1 species